GGGAAGUAUGAGUCUACUGGUGGUUCUGGGGCUGGUUUUGCCCACGCGCAGCCAAAAAUCAUCAAAAGCUGGAAGAUUUUUAAAGAAGAAAUUAAAUAAUUAAUUUUUUAUGAUCAAUUGAAUUAAAUAUUAAAAUUUUUAUUUGAAGAGUCAAUGCAGCAAAAAAAAAAGAGCAAAAGUCUAUUGUCUGAAGUGAAAAAUAAGUAAUUAGACUAGCUUCUUCAGCGAGUCGUUGAUAAUUACUUCCUGUAGAAAGCACAGGCACUUAACAAAAAGGAAAAACUCUUGCUUUCAAUUAUAAUAAUUUAUACCAAGGGGAUUUUUUAGAGUAUUAUAUUACAUACGCAAGAGGUCAAGGGUUCGAUUCCCGGCUUAGGUCAAAUGAAUUAAAAAAAUUUUUUUUUUAAUUAUUUUUACUUAUUUA